rnacentral:rRNA from 1 species
AUUGAACGCUGGCGGCAUGCUUUACACAUGCAAGUCGAACGGUAACAGGUUAAGCUGACGAGUGGCGAACGGGUGAGUAAUGCAUCGGAACGUGCCCAGUCGUGGGGGAUAACGCAGCGAAAGCUGUGCUAAUACCGCAUACGAUCUAUGGAUGAAAGCGGGGGACCGUAAGGCCUCGCGCGAUUGGAGCGGCCGAUGUCAGAUUAGCUAGUUGGUGGGGUAAAGGCCCACCAAGGCGACGAUCUGUAGCUGGUCUGAGAGGACGACCAGCCACACUGGGACUGAGACACGGCCCAGACUCCUACGGGAGGCAGCAGUGGGGAAUUUUGGACAAUGGGCGCAAGCCUGAUCCAGCAAUGCCGCGUGCAGGAAGAAGGCCUCGGUUGUAACUGCUUUGUUACGGAACGAAAAGGACUCUGGUUAAUACCUGGGCUCAUGACGGUACCGUAAGAAUAAGCACCGGCUAACUACGUGCCAGC